rnacentral:rRNA from 1 species
AUGUGGGUGGCCAGGGCGACUGGCAGCGCCACGCUGCUCGCACUCCCGGACGCGGCAUAUGCGCGCGCGUGGUGUCGGACGGUGCCCUGGACGUGCAGGAGGAGCUCCCAAUUCGCCGGAAUAGCUCCUGCCGGUCGCUGCCCCCUCCCGCCAGCCGCAUCCUCGCCGCCGCCUCCUCCCGCUGGGCCGCCGCCGCCUCCUACCGCAGGGACACAACCUUCCCGCAUCCUCUCUGCCGCACUAGCGCGCCACCCGCCGCCGCUCCAAUCGCCGGAAGAAAUCGCCGAUGUAACCACCGGGAGGAUAACGUGA